rnacentral:snRNA from 19 species
CCAGCUCUCUUUGCCUUUUGGCUUAGAUCAAGUGUAGUAUCUGUUCUUUUAAGUUUAAUCGCUUAAAUUCCUCCACGGAGGUUUCCGAUUAAAUCGAUUUUUGAAACUAGCUGAUGAGUCCCUGGGCUUGCUCAUACUCAUCGGCACAGUGUCGUCUCUAUCGCACUACUUGAGACUGACGCGACCUUUU